GGGGAUUUAGCUCAGUGGUAGAGCGCUUGCCUAGCAAGCACAAGGCCCUGGGUUCGUUCCUCAGCUCCG
rfam:Rattus norvegicus chromosome 19, whole genome shotgun sequence.